UUUUUAACACGUCAUUAUCAACUACGCUGGGCUUCUUCCCAUGGCCCAAAACGAAUCCACUUGAGUAAUCUAUUGUCCGGCGAUUUCUAUCGAUUUCUCCGUACUUUGUCUUCUCCGCUUCGACUUCUUGCAACCUCAAUUACCGCGAUCCCACUUCUUAUCAAUCAAUAGGUUUUACCGUUUCAAUCACUCAUUCAGUUCUUAUAUCUCUUCCAAGACGUUGUAUCUCUAUCUAUAAAAAGGUGAGGAUUCAUCCCUUCAGAAUCAUCCUUUUGAAUGCCUCUCUGUUUCUACCAUUGUAGUAGGUGGAUCUUCAGCCAUUCCGUUUAGUUUGAUAUGUACGAUCGAGCUAGCAUCAACAAUCGGAGCCAUAACUACCCUCGAUUGUAUCACCGGAACCGUUCUCAUCCCCUCCUUGGAUCCACAAGUGUCAUCCAUCUUCCGUUGGGUCUGGCGAUUGCUCCGGGAAUGAAGCAAACGAAUGAGACGGCGGAAAGAAUAAGCUGAGGAAAAACUCAGGCUUUUGGAGAAGGAUAGAGGACAAACAGCGACUGAAAGGAUUUCGGAUACGAGAAUUAAGAUGUGUACGAUAACGGCGCGGUGGGAUGUGAAAGCCGUAGGGGAUUUGUUGGAUAGAGAGUGUGUGAGGCCUGAUGUGAUAUUAGCUGAGGGAGAAGAAGACAGUGAUGAUGAGGAUGAUGAUACUGUGUUAUUGCAAUGGGAUAAGAACGAGGACGUUUGAUAUCAGCCGAAGUGAUCAGCAUUUUCUAUAAACUAUGAAAAUAAUUUUUUAUUUGUGAUCACAUGAAAUCCAGCGAUUAACUCUGUUGCUUCUUAAAAAGAUUAAUAAGACUAACUCUGUUGCUUCUUAAAAAUCUAGCAAUUUUGCUGUUUGGAGAUUUUGCUCACAGGACAUCGUUGCCGAUGUAGAAAGUGGAGGAAUUGUGGCGGAGGAAGAGCUUCAGCUAUUGAACAAGCCUAAUCAUGUAUCAACACCAGAGGAGGCCGAAAAUCAGUGUGGGAAAGCAGGCUGUGGCCAGGUCCUGCAUGAGCCCUUUCUGAAGUUCUUAAAGCAUGAAGAAGAAGAUGAAUCAGAGAUUUCCCAGGACAUGGAGAGACUCGCCCUGGAGUAUUACGAUCCCAAACCAGGUGAAUUUGUGGUUGGUGUUGUGACCUGUGGUUUCUGGUAACGAGAACAAACUUGAUGUGAGUAUAGUUGCGGAUAUGUUGGGGACCAUAAUGACGAAUGAGAAAGUUCCAUUGGAUUGUUAAGGAUGAUGAUGAAGAUGGUGUUUAAGUUGUGUAGUUUGCAAGGCAAGGCAUGCAUGUGGUGGAGAUAGGACGUUGAGUGGAAGGUCUUUGCUUUCUUCUAGACGUUACUUUAGAAGAAUAGCUUGGCACCAAGUGAGGAUGGAAGCAUGAUAAGGCAAAACGUCAUUCGAUUGAAGAGUUUCAGAGAUAACAAGGAAUUGUUUUCAAGAUUGACGAACUCGAGAUACAAGCCGAACAUAGCGAGCUUUUGCAAGGAUGUGUUGAAAACUGGGUAGUAGUAAGCUAUGACAAGACAAAUCAUUAAAAAUAUGGAUGGUAAAUGAUGAUGGAAAGACAGAUGGAAAUGAGGGAAGUUGAUGAUUGUGUGUGAUAUCAGUAGAUAAAUACAAAAGAAACACGUACGUGUUAUCCACGUUAAAUAGCUGAGUGUAUCUUGGGUCUUUUUUGUAUUUAAUUCAGCUUGAGUUAUAUAUGUGUUUGUUUUAA